CCUACGGGAGGCAGCAGUGAGGAAUAUUGGUCAAUGGGCUUACGCCUGAACCAGCCAAGUCGCGUGAGGGAAGACUGCCCUAUGGUUGUAAACCUCUUUUGUCAGGGAGCAACGCCGGCCACGUGUAGCCGGACCUAGAGUACCUGAAAAAACAGCAACGGCUUACGCCGUGACAGCAGCCGCGGUAAUACGGAGGAUGAGAGCGUUUUCCGGAUUUAUUGGGUUUAAAGGGUGCGUAGGCGGAAGGCCCAGUCAGCGGGAAAAUCGCGGGGCUCAACCUCGCUCCGCCGUUGAAACUGGCGUUCUUGAGUGGGCGAGAAGUAUGCGGAAUGCGUGGUGUAGCGGUGAAAUGCAUAGAUAUCACGCAGAACUCCGAUUGCGAAGGCAGCAUACCGGCGCCCAACUGACGCUGAAGCACGAAAGCGUGGGUAUCGAACAGGAUUAGAUACCCUAGUAGUC
rnacentral:rRNA from 1 species